AACGUAGGGGGCGAGCGUUGUCCGGAAUUACUGGGCGUAAAGGGCGUGUAGGCGGCCCGUGAAGUCAAGAGUGAAAACUCGGGGCUCAACCUCGAGAUUGCUUUUGAAACCAGCGGGCUUGAGUGCAGGAGAGGAAAGUGGAAUUCCCAGUGUAGCGGUGAAAUGCGUAGAUAUUGGGAGGAACACCAGUGGCGAAAGCGGCUUUCUGGCCUGUAACUGACGCUGAGGCGCGAAAGCGUGGGGAGCAAACAGGAUUAGAUACCCUGGUAGUCCACGCCGUAAACGAUGGGUGCUAAGUGUUGGGGGUAUCGACCCCCUCAGUGCUGUAGUUAACGCAAUAAGCACCCCGCCUGGGGAGUACGGUCGCAAGACUGAA
rnacentral:rRNA from 1 species